UGCAUGCAAGUCGAGCGAAGCUUUUCAGUAGUUUACUACAGAAAAUGACUGAGCGGCGAACGGGUGAGUAACGCGUGAGCAACCUACCUUAGUUACUGGGAUAGCCCGAGGAAACUCGGAUUAAUACCGGAUAUUCUUAUUUAAUCACAUGAUUUUUUAAGGAAAGGUCAGCCGAACUAAGAUGGGCUCGCGUUCUAUCAGCUAGUUGGUAGGGUAAUGGCCUACCAAGGCUACGACGGAUAGCUGGUCUGAGAGGACGAUCAGCCACACUGGGACUGAGACACGGCCCAGACUCCUACGGGAGGCUGCAGCAGGAAUAUUGCGCAAUGAGCGAAAGCUUGACGCAGCGACACCGCGUGUGGGAUGACGGAUCUAGGUUUGUAAACCACUUUCAGGAGGGAAGAAAAUGACGGUACCUCCACAAGAAGCCCCGGCCAACUACGUGCCAGCAGCCGCGGUAAUACGUAGGGGGCGAGCGUUGUCCGGAUUUAUUGGGCGUAAAGAGCUCGUAGGCGGUUCAACAAGUCGGUCGUGAAAGUUCAGGGCUCAACCCCGAAAUGUCGAUCGAUACUGUUGUGACUAGGAUACGGUAGA
rnacentral:rRNA from 1 species